AGAGUUUGAUUCUGGCUCAGAACGUACGCUGGCGGCACGCCUAACACAUGCAAGUCGAACGAAGUAGCAAUACUUAGUGGCAGACGGGUGAGUAACAUGUAGGUAUCUGCCCUUUGGCCUGGAAUAACACGAGGAAACUUGUGCUAAUACCGGAUAAGUCUUUACGGAGAAAGCUUUAUGCACCAUUGGAUGAGCCUGCACUUGAUUAGUUUGUUGGUGGGGUAAUGGCCUACCAAGACUUUGAUCAAUAGCUGAUUUGAGAGGAUGAUCAGCCACAUUGGGACUGAGACACGGCCCAAACUCCUACGGGAGGCAGCAGUGGGGAAUCUUGCACAAUGGAGGAAACUCUGAUGCAGCGAUGCCGCGUGAGUGAAGAAGGCCCUUGGGUUGUAAAGCUCUUUCGUCGGGGAAGAAAAUGACUGUACCCGAAUAAGAAGGUCCGGCUAACUUCGUGCCAGCCGCCGCGGUAAUAC
rnacentral:rRNA from 1 species